CGAGACAACCACAAGUAUAUUGUUUCAGGAAGCUCCGACUUCCUUGUUAUUCUUCCUUGUCAUGUUUUGGCAAUCUACAAGAUAUUCCUUUUUGGAUAUAUAUAUAUAUAUAUCUUCUUCGUUAAUUGAAUUAAUGAACUUCAAGAUUUCUCGACGACCGACCAAAAUAACACUUUUGGAGUUAUGUUGUUACUUUGUGUAAGCGAUGUCGAUCAGAUUGUACAUAUUGAUGGCGUUCGGCGGUUUGGUGGCGCUAGUGCUACUAAUCGUUGGCAUAGGGUUCCUAGUAGGAUACCUAGUUGGCUUCAUGGUCGACAAAUGUUCAAAGGAUAAAUACCGUCCUCUGGCAAAUGGAGUUAGCAUUGAGGAAGUCUGAAUUUGCAUCUUUAAAAUGAUCGCGUGUGCAGUGUAUUUUAUUUAUAAUAUUGUAAUCUAAGCUGUGUAAAAAUCUGCAAAUUAUUAAACAUAAGAAUGACUAACACUUCGGGAAUAGUUUUAAUAGUAUUAUAUUAAUAACUAAUCUGACUCAUUAUGAUGUGUCUAUUUAUACUGCACUGCAUUCUUAAGAUUUUGUACACGUACUUUUGUUCAUCUUUCUUGUUUCCUCGUUUAAAAAGAAACGAUCAAACCGGAAGAAAUAUGCACGCAAAGCUUAAUGACAGCUUAAAUUUGACUUGAGCCGCUUCGUGCGAAAACGGAUCGUAUGUCAUAUGCCGCCAGCGAGCUCAAGGCCGGCCUGCGCAGUCUAGUAAUGAGCUAACUAGAACGCUAUUACGUAACUUAAUGCCUGUUAGCCUCAUAAGCGGACGUAAUAACACAUAAUUAGAGUGCAAGGGUGCAAACGCAAAUCUACACUGCUCGGAUAUGUCAUAAGACCUAUUUUCGCUUGACGUGGCUCAUGUGAGUGAGGAUAUUUAGCAAUAAAGAGAAGGGCAUGGGGAAAAAUAUGGCGGACAGACGCAGAAGCGACAUAUCGGAACUAAAUGGAUAGAACGGGAUGUGUUUUCUUUAUGAGAUGUGAAUUAAAAAAUAUAAAUAAAAAU